rnacentral:lncRNA from 1 species
AAAGGGCCAGGCCGCCCUGCGUGCUGGCUGGGGGCGCGGACGCGCGCCGUCUCGAUGCAGCUGCCCUCGGGAGAGCCUCGGGGUCCCCGGACCGACCCGGCUGGUGACGUGGGAGCGUUUGGACCGCUCGAUCCCACCCUCCCGCGCGAAGUCCCUCUCUGCCCUUCUUUGCUGGGAAGUUCGUCCGGGAGUCUAACCCGGGUGUCCUCCCGCUGCUCUGCAUGGGCGGGGCCAGGGUAGGCGUGAGGUCGCUGAGCAGAGCGCGCCGCCCCCCGACCCACCUGCUCCCCUGAGCCAGGCGACUCUGAUGGACCCGUACCCCAGCCGCGCUCAUCUCCCGCCCCCUGUGACUCCGGCUGCUCCGACUUGGGGGUGAGUCUGGGGUCUGUAGCUGCUCCGGCCUCCCACGCGUUUUGCUCUGAGUCUCCCGAACCUACCUGGGGGCCUCUGGCUGCAGAACCUCCGAGCAACCGCCGCAACGACGGAAGCCUUUCAGAUGACCUACCUGGAACAGCCGGGUGGGGGCCAGAGGCCCAGGCCCGGCCGAGGGGCCCUCCGCGCAGCCUCGGCGCUGGGAAGAUGCAGCUCGGCUUGCGGAACGCUGCUCUGGCACCGGCUCCGUGGGGGCAGGGGGCUGGCUGUGCUGGCAGGAGGCUGCGAAGGAACGCUGCCAGGCCGAGCGACAGCAGGGCGGGACUACGGACUACCACCGUGGUCUCUCCUUCGGACGCCCCGCACCCCUACCCACUGUUCAGCCUAGUCACUCUCCCAACACUGCUCCAGCCGGGCCAUUCCACUCCAGCCAUAGCAGUCUCCUUGGGUGUGCGCCUUCCUCAUGGUGUGCUGUAGCUCUUUCUCUGGAGCCAAGCAGGUGUCAUCAAAUAGUCGAAGGUCUGUCCCCUCAGAAUGCAAGGAUCUCUCACUGGACAUGGGCUGACUACCCCUGAGCAAGGAAGCUGAGUAGGUGAAGAAAGGUAGGGACAGUGAGGAGAGCCCCUUCCUUCACAUGCGCAGGGCAUGCCCCUACCUGGGUUCCCGAAUCUGAGGCUCUAGGCUGAAGCUGUGAACCUGUCAAUUACCGAUGAUGUCUCCUACACUUCCCAAAACCCAAGUUUCUCGUCUGACCCAGUUGAUUGCUGCACUGACCUGGGAGGUGGGAAGGGCAGGGCUGUCUACCUACUGGGUGGACAAGGAGAGUCCCGCAGAGAGAGAAAACAUGUAGACGCUGUGCUGGGAGGUUGGAAGAAGCUGGUACUGGCCUUGGCUAAGGUAAAGGAGUGACACCCCUACCCCACCCCCUGCUGUCUCAUUUGGGUUCUCUGAACUCCGACUGAGGGCAAGAGGGCACACUGGGCUUGUCACUGGCAACAGCUGCAAAAGCCAGAAGCCCCGUUGUGUUCAUGGCUGCAGAACUGAGUGGUCUGGACAUGGGGUACAGCCAACUGGAGGGACAAGAUGGGAGCAGAGGAAGGAUUCUAGGCCACAACCUCAAGUUCUGUUGGUUGGUUUAGGGGCCAGAGCACUCAUUACCAUGAUAGAGGUGGGUGCUUUAGACCCCUAAAGCUGAGUGACUCCAGGCCAAACUUCACUUUGGAGAACAAGGAGACAACCCCAGACUGCUUGGGGUUCCUGCACUUGGCUGGGGAAACUACGCUCACCAGGUAACAGAAAUGCAAGUUAGGCAGUCCAAAAAGUGGGUGGUGCAGGCUGGAAGGGGAGGGUGUACAGUACGUGGCCUCCAUCUCCCUCAGUUUUGGCUGCUGAGUCCAGCACUAAUGGGCCACAGCUGCACAAGGGUGGGAGCCUAAUGCAAACCAGCAGGUUCCCUUUCCCACACCAAGUCCAGGGCCUUACAGGAGAGCCUCCCUGUUAACUUCCAAAAGGCUCCCAGAGACCCUAGUCCUCCACAACCUUGGGCCGUGGUACUUCUUGCGGAAGCCCCCAUCCCUUUAACUCAGAUGUGACCAGCAGCAGUGUCAAGGCCUACGUCCAUCACUGCUGUGCAGAGACCAUCGGGUCCUACAUGUCUGCCCAGUAGUGGGGGUUCUAGAGGUCUUCUGAGCCCUAAGUGUUUCCAGACAUAGUCUUCAGGGAGGCAGACUCCUCUUAAAGUUAGGGCAGAGACAAUGGUCCUCAGAAUCUGCAUGUGGGCAGCAGGGAUCAGGGUUAGGGCUCAGUGGACAUAGGUGUAGUUCUGGCCCUUUUAAAACCCACAUUCUGCCUUGGUAUCUCCCAGGUGCCUCAGCCUCAGGAGUUUGGUCUUACUGCUUGUAUGAGGUUUGGUAUUGAAGAAGACAACACCGGGCUGCUGUAAACCACAGGGAGGAAGCAGCUAUGGCAAGAGGCCCAGGCCUCAGAAUGCAGCCUGUGCUGUGGUGUACUGAUUCCUGAAUGCAGAGCUCUAACUCCUCCCUCGAGGUGCCCGAGAGACUACAGCAACCAGUAAUCUGUCUCAGCUAGACAUUCUGACCUGUCUUUUUAACAAGUUAUGGGUAUUUUGCCUGUGCCACCACGCCCGGCUUUUAAUUAAUUAAUUAAUUAAUAUUUUUUUUUUUUUUUUUUUUUUUUUGGUUUUUCGAGACAGGGUUUCUCUGUAUAGCCCUGGCUGUCCUGCCACCACACCACAAGAGUAAAGAGUCUUACUAUGCAGUUCUGUCUGGCCUUGAACUCAAGAGAUCCACCCUCUUCUGCUGGGGUUAAAGAUGUGCACUACCCUACCACACCUGGCAUUUUCUUUAAAUAAAAAAUAAAACACCCACAUUCGACAAUUUUCAGUUUCCCAAGUUGGGGAAACACUGUUUAGCAAACCCAGUUCUCUGCAAACAAGCUAGCAGGUUCACUCUGCUUAGCCAGCAGGUCCUCACCUGUAUGUUCAAAUGUCACAUGGUCUGUCUUAGGAGGUGAGUGAUGAUGGGUGCCACAGUCAGAUGACUUGCAGAGGACAGCGGGAGGAGACCUGGAGUUGCAUCCCACCAGAGGGUAUGUUUCUGCCAGGCUCUCCCAGGUCACUCCUGCACCCCAGUAACCUGCCAAUGGACAAGUCUCUUCGCUUGGCUGUAUCAGAAACUGACUGGAGUUUGAGCAAAGAAAGACCAAGCAGGCAGGCUCAAACUCAGCAUGUAUUUUCAUUUCUACAAGAUCCUUUUCAAGUUGUAGAGAAAUUUCAUAGAAGUAUAUACAAAUUAGACAUUGCUAGUAUGUACAAAAGUAUUUUCUACAUUUUUGAACAAUAUCAACUAUGCCACUUGCAGUAAACAGGAUGUUACAAAAUCAUCCAAUAAAGAAAGCAUUUUCUAUUAAGCACAUUACACAACAUAAUUCAAUUUUAUUAAAAAAAUAACUUCAAAAUACAGAAUGAUCGUGGAUAAGAAGAAAAGCCAUUUCUGUAUUCAGUCGAGUAUAAACAGCAAGGUUGACAUUACUGAACAUGAGUGCCUGCUGGUACAGGUUAAGCCCUGUCCAUGCAGCAGUAGGUGGUAGGUGGAUGCCCUUCCUCUUGCUAUGCUAAUCCCCAGAACCCGACAAUGUCUGUAAUUCCUCUGGCCACGGGACUUCGAGUAGAGAUUUAUCUCUGGAGUCUGAUCUACUUACAUGGACCCUUAAAGCAGGAGGAGGGCAGAGGUUUUGAAAAAAAGACAAGACUCAAAGGGUCCCUGCUGGUUGAAGCUGGCAAGGCCUACAGCAGGCGAUGUGGGCAUCCACCGAGGGCUCUAGAGGGGCCCAGCUACAAGUCACGUCUUCCCAGAGUCUUCUGAGAAAUGAGCUCUUCCAGACCUUACCUUGAGACCCUGAGCAGAUGAGUCAACCCUACCAUUGCCUGUUUGUCAAUGACACAUAGGCACUCUUAGGCUGAGAAAUUUGGGAUAACUUGUUACACAGCAACCAAAUAAGAAUAUAUGGCCCAAUAGUGACCUUUUCUUACUAAUUACAUUUGCCAGUUUAUUUGGGCUCUGAAUGCAUUCUUCCUACUGAAUACUAGAUUCAAACACCCUUCUUUGUAGGCAACUUUAAAGGGGGGGGGGGUAGAAGGACCCACUCACUAUAAACCACAUGUCUAACCCGCCAAGCACUGAGUUCCGAUGUUAUCCUUCUAAUUAACUAAUUUACAGACAUGGUGAACAAUAGCUGGCUGGCCACCAAAAUGCUGCUUACAUACAUCACAGAGUAACACCAUUAUUUAUUUGUGGGGUGCUGACCUCUGAUCCCAGAGCUACUUACAUGCUAAGCACAUGCUAUAUAUCACUGAGCCACAUGGCCCUGGAAGACUACUUUCAUAUAUCCAGUACUUCCCCUCCAUCUGGCCAGGGCUUUAGUAAUUUCCUCCAGCCCAAGGCCUUUACUCUUCCCAAAUGCACUAGCAAGGCCUGGGUGGGAUAGGAGAGUACAGACUUCUACACCAUAUACCUGACAGGAAGUCUGUGAACUGGAUUUAACCGGCACUAAGGUGAUUAAGUACACUUGGGGAAAGAAUGCAAACUAAAGAGUAAAACAAAACAAAGAAACAAACCCACACUAGUUUUUACAGGUUAGAUUCUUCCUGGAGGAGCCACACAAAGCCGUAAGAACCCCUUUCUGUGCAGCAGAGCCUGUGACCCUGCUGCCCCCAACUUUUGUCCUGGGUUUCCUCCAUCAGGCAGGGCUUCAUGGAGUCAGGGGGCAGCGUGGGGGUGGGGGUGGGGGGUGUCUCGACACAAACAGGGAAUAGGAUGGUUGGGGCAGGGCUGCUACUAUUGCCACAGUGAGAGUGAAGCUUGGCUGGAGUGUCUGUGGAGCUGCUUCUGAAGGACAUUCUUCAGCUGGCACUUUAGCACACAUGUGCAGAACAAGAUGACCAGCCAUACAGGUUCUGUUCCAAGGGACCUCCACCACAUAUCUGUGUUUGGAAGAAGCCCCUACACUCACAGUGAACCCAGCUCAGAAGAAAUUAUUUUUGGUGCCAGUGAAUUUAAAAAAAAAAAAUCACAAUUCAUUUUCUGGCAUCAGGAAAUGCAGUAUGUGACAAUAUGACAUAGGGUAUACGAGGAACCAAAGGCACCAAGCACCAAAGCAGGAGCUGGGGUGGCUGGGCUGGCAUUCCCUGUGAAGUGUGGGUGCUCACAGCUGGGACACAGAGGAAUGAGCUACCACCCUGCACACCUGGCCAUGGUCAAUAUGGAUGUGGACAGCCUCAUCUGACAGCACACACCAAGACGACAACCAGCAUGGGGACAUGGGGACAUGGAGAACACGUGUCUUGUGACAGCUCUCCAUAAUUGUGUUUGGCAGCAUGGAUGCUAAAACCU